UACGUAGGGCGCAAGCGUUGUCCGGAAUCAUUGGGCGUAAAGAGCUCGUAGGUGGUCUGUUACGUCUGCUGUGAAAUCCUAGGGCUUAACCCUGGGCCUGCAGUGGAUACGGGCAGACUAGAGGUAGGUAGGGGAGAAUGGAAUUCCCGGUGUAGCGGUGAAAUGCGCAGAUAUCGGGAGGAACACCGGUGGCGAAGGCGGGUCUCUGGGCCGAUACUGACGCUGAGGAGCGAAAGCGUGGGGAGCGAACAGG
rnacentral:rRNA from 1 species